rnacentral:rRNA from 1 species
AGUGAACGCUGGCGGUAGGCCUAACACAUGCAAGUCGAACGGCAGCACAGUAAGAGCUUGCUCUUACGGGUGGCGAGUGGCGGACGGGUGAGGAAUACAUCGGAAUCUACUUUUUCGUGGGGGAUAACGUAGGGAAACUUACGCUAAUACCGCAUACGACCUACGGGUGAAAGCAGGGGAUCUUCGGACCUUGCGCGAUUGAAUGAGCCGAUGUCGGAUUAGCUAGUUGGCGGGGUAAAGGCCCACCAAGGCGACGAUCCGUAGCUGGUCUGAGAGGAUGAACAGCCACACUGGAACUGAGACACGGCCCAGACUCCUACGGGAGGAAGCAGUGGGGAAUAUUGGACAAUGGGCGCAAGCCUGAUCCAGCCAUACCGCGUGGGUGAAGAAGGCCUUCGGGUUGUAAAGCCCUUUUGUUGGGAAAGAAAAGCAGCAGGUUAAUACCCCGCUGUUCUGACGGUACCCAAAGAAUAAGCACCGGCUAACUUCGU